UUAAAUUAGUUUAUUUAUAGCUUUAUUUAAACAAAUUUUUAUUUAACAUGACAUUUAAUACAAAAAUUCAGUUAAUAAAAUUUUUAAGAUAAUUAAGUAUUUAAAAGUAAAAAUUCUUAAUUAGUUAAUAUUGUGCCAGCAACUGCGGUUAAACAAUAAAUAAUGUUAAAUAAUCCUUAAAAUUUACAAUAAUAAAACUAAAGAUUCCAAAAAUAGAAAUAAUUGGUAUAAUAAAAAUUUCUUUUUAUUUAUCUUAAAAAUUUUAUAUUUAAAAAUUAGUUAUCAAUAGGAUUAGAUACCCUAGUAAAAUUAAUAAAUGAAAUUUUAAUAGGUAUUAAAAGUUAAACUCAACUCCUCUAAACCUAAAUAUUAUGGCAGUAAAAAAAUUUUUAGAGAAUUUUGUUUAUUAAAUUGAUAACACACAAAAAACCUUUCUUAAUUUUAAACCUUUAUACCACCGUAAAACUUAAUUUUAAAAAUUUAAGUUUUUUUAGUAAAAAAAAAAAAAACAGGUCUUGGCAAAGUUAUAAUUAAGAUUAAGUGAAAUUCAAUAUAAUAUAUAAUUUAUUAUUAAAUAUCAAUAAUUUUUUAAUAACAGAAUUUAAAAGUAAGAUUUUAUUAGAAGGAAAAUCUAAAUAUAUAUUUAUUUAUGUUCAAAUUGCCCGUCACUCUCAUAAAAAUUGAGAUAAGUCGUAACAAAGUAAAUAUAUUGGAAAAUGUAUUUAUAUUAAAGU
rnacentral:rRNA from 1 species